GACAAGAAACAAGGUGAGGCAUUAAUGAAAAAUGUUUUCAAGGUUUCUUUAGCUACUACUCAUUCUUCACUGUGGGUAUUAGAUAUUGGCAGUGGUUAUAACAUUUGCAAUAUGUUGCGGUUUCUUUAGCUACUACUCAUUCUUCACUGUGGGUAUUAGAUAUUGGCAGUGGUUAUACCAUUUGCAAUAUGUUGCAAGGGUUCAAGAUAAGUAGAAAGUUGAAGAAAGGAGAAAUUAAUCUACAAGUUGGAAAUGUUGCAAAAGUUGCG
rnacentral:lncRNA from 1 species